GUCAACUUGGUGUCUUAUUAAUGAAAACUAGAGAAUUAAAGAGUUUGGGACCAUAAAUGGAGAAGCUUACCGGAGAUAGGGCCUUUCAAGUGAAAGAGAGUAAGGAAAGUGGUUGGGUAUUCCAAGAUGUGAAGAAUCCUGUCUUUUGUGUGGAAUUCAAGAUAUUGAUCAACUUUUCCCACAAGAAGAAGCAUUUGCCUCCAGGGUACCAUGGACGUGUGGCAAUAUAAAUCCAAAGGACAACUGAGGCCUAGUUAAAAGCCACUUUCCUGCGCAUUCAGUCUUAGACUACAUUGUUUGCUAACA